rnacentral:rRNA from 1 species
AUUGAACGCUGGCGGCAGGCUUAACACAUGCAAGUCGAGCGGAGAGAGGUAGCUUGCUACUGAUCUUAGCGGCGGACGGGUGAGUAAUGCUUAGGAAUCUGCCUAUUAGUGGGGGACAACAUUUCGAAAGGAAUGCUAAUACCGCAUACGUCCUACGGGAGAAAGCAGGGGAUCUUCGGACCUUGCGCUAAUAGAUGAGCCUAAGUCGGAUUAGCUAGUUGGUGGGGUAAAGGCCUACCAAGGCGACGAUCUGUAGCGGGUCUGAGAGGAUGAUCCGCCACACUGGGACUGAGACACGGCGCAGACUCCUACGGGAGGCAGCAGUGGGGAAUAUUGGACAAUGGGCGCAAGCCUGAUCCAGCCAUGCCGCGUGUGUGAAGAAGGCCUUAUGGUUGUAAAGCACUUUAAGCGAGGAGGAGGCUACUUUAGAUAAUACCUAGAGAUAGUGGACGUUACUCGCAGAAUAAGCACCGGCUAACUCUGUGCCAGCCGCCGCAGUAAGAC